GGAGACCCCACUGGACCUGCUGACAUGUGACUCAGUCCCAGGCUAAUCUCCUGGACAUUGUCAUUUUCUUCUGUCCUGAGUCCUGGUCUUCUUUCCGAUAAUAUGGGAACAACUACAUGUUAAACCAGACAUCAAUAAAACUGGUUAUCUACAAAUGUAGAGAGAGAAAGUGGGAAGCUAGAGCUCUCUGUACUUUGUUUUAUAGCUUUGAAUGUGGAGCCAUUUAAUAUUUUACAGAGUUAAAAUCAAAUCAAAUCAAAUCAAAACCAAAUAAUAUUUCUCAAAUAAAAAAUGAAUGGAAACAAACGAACCUAACUGUGAGAGGUGAAGCCAGCUGGACUUCCUGGGUCCAGUGGGAGCUUGGAGAACUUUUCUGUCUAGCUAAAGGAUUGUAAACGCACCAAUCAGCACUCUGUAAAAAUGCACCAAUCAACGCUCUGUGUCUAGCUAAAGAAUUGUAAACGCACCAAUCAGCACUCUGUGUCUAGCUAAAGGACUGUAAAUGCACCAAUCAGCACUCCGUAAAAUGGACCAAUCAGCGCUCUGUAAAAUGGACCAAUCAGCAGGACGUGGGCAGGGCCAAAUAAGGGAAUAAAAGCUGGCCACCCCAGCUAGCAGUGGCAACUGGCUGGGGUCCCCCUGCAGGCUGUGGAAGCUUUGUUCUUUCGCUCUUCACAAUAAAUCUUGCUGCUGCUUACUCUUUGUGUUUGCCCUACCUUUAUGAGCUGUAACACUCACCACGAGGGUCUGCGUCUGCAGCUUCAUUCCUGAAGUCAGUGAGACCAUGAACCCACUGGGAGGAACAAACAACUCUGGACAUGCCACCUUUAUGAGCUGUAACACUCACUGCCAGAGUCUGCAUCUGCAGCUUCACUCCUGAAGUCAGCGAGACCACGAACCCACUGGAAGGAAGAAACUCCAGACACACAUGCAAUCUGAAGGAACAAACUCUGGAAACAUCAUCUUUAAGAGCUGUAACACUCACCGCGAGGGUCCGCGGCUUCAUUCUUGAAGUCAGCAAGACCAAGAACCCACAAGAAGGAAUAAAUUCCAGACACAACUGUAUCUCAAGUUGACAUAAUAGCUACACAGGGAAAAAUUAUCUCAAUUUAUUUUAAAAUAUAGUAUUUUGACUGUAUAAACCUAAACCCAAGAAAACAAGAAAAAUCUAGAUUGUAAUCAGAGGUCCUGUAAUCAUUAAUGUUGAUAUUAUUAUUUUAGAACAAUGCCAUUAUCAAAAAUGACAUUAUAGAAAAAAGACUUUGUCUGUUACAUAUAAAAAAAUAGAUAAAAUGUGACUAAAUGUUAACAGUUGUAAAAUCCUGAUAAUGGUUGAUAAUGGGUAUAUGGAAGUUCAAUAUAUUGUGCUUUCUAUUUUUCUGUAUGUUUUAAAUUUGCCAUAAUAAAA
rnacentral:lncRNA from 10 species